rnacentral:rRNA from 1 species
AUUGAACGCUGGCGGCAGGCCUAACACAUGCAAGUCGAGCGAGCGGCGGACGGGUGAGUAAUGUAUGGGGACUGCCCGAUAGAGGGGGAUAACUAUUGGAAAAGGUAGCUAACACCCCAUACUAUAGGAUAACCCAUAUGGGAUUAGCUAGUAGGUGAGGUAAUGGAUCACCAAGGCACCGAUCCCUAGCUGGUCUGAGAGGAUGAUCAGCCACACUGGGACUGAGACACGGCCCAGACUCCUACGGAGGCAGCAGUGGGGAAUAUUGGACAAUGGGCGCAAGCCUGAUGCAGCCAUGCCGCGUGUAUGAAGAAGGCCCUAGGGUUGUAAAGUACUUUCGGUCGGGAGGCGUUACCGGCAGAAUAAGCACCGGCUAACUACGUGCCAGCCGCCGCGGUAAUAC